rnacentral:rRNA from 1 species
UACGUAGGGGGCAAGCGUUGUCCGGAAUUAUUGGGCGUAAAGCGCGUGUAGGCGGUCCGGUAAGUCGGUUGUGAAAGUCCAGGGCUCAACCCUGGGAUGCCGACCGAUACUGUCGGACUAGAGUUCGGAAGAGGCGAGUGGAAUUCCCGGUGUAGCGGUGAAAUGCGCAGAUAUCGGGAGGAACACCAAUGGCGAAGGCAGCUCGCUGGGACGUUACUGACGCUGAGACGCGAAAGCGUGGGGAGCAAACAGG